GCCGACUUAGCUCCAACGGUAGAGCAACACCAUGGUAAGGUGGAGGUUGUGAGUUCGAAUCUCAUAGUCGGCACCA
rnacentral:tRNA from 1 species